UACGAAGGGGGGCUAGCGUUGCUCGGAAUCACUGGGCGUAAAGCGCACGUAGGCGGAUUGUUAAGUCAGGGGUGAAAUCCUGGAGCUCAACUCCAGAACUGCCUUUGAUACUGGCGAUCUCGAGUCCGGGAAAGGUGAGUGGAACUGCGAGUGUAGAGGUGAAAUUCGUAGAUAUUCGCAAGAACACCAGUGGCGAAGGCGGCUCACUGGCCCGGUACUGACGCUGAGGUGCGAAAGCGUGGGGAGCAAACAGG
rnacentral:rRNA from 1 species